rnacentral:tRNA from 1 species
GUGCCCAUAGCUCAAUUGGUUAGAGCAUCAGGUUGUGGACCUGAGGGUUGCCGGUUCGAGCCCGGCUGGGCACC